UCUUCCCUCUUUCUUCGUGCCUAAUACAUGCAAGUCGAGCGAACAGACGAGGAGCUUGCUCCUCUGACGUUAGCGGCGGACGGGUGAGUAACACGUGGAUAACCUACCUAUAAGACUGGGAUAACUUCGGGAAACCGGAGCUAAUACCGGAUAAUAUAUUGAACCGCAUGGUUCAAUAGUGAAAGACGGUUUUGCUGUCACUUAUAGAUGGAUCCGCGCCGCAUUAGCUAGUUGGUAAGGUAACGGCUUACCAAGGCAACGAUGCGUAGCCGACCUGAGAGGGUGAUCGGCCACACUGGAACUGAGACACGGUCCAGACUCUUACGGGAGGCAGCAGUAGGGAAUCUUCCGCAAUGGGCGAAAGCCUGACGGAGCAACGCCGCGUGAGUGAUGAAGGUCUUCGGAUCGUAAAACUCUGUUAUUAGGGAAGAACAAAUGUGUAAGUAACUAUGCACGUCUUGACGGUACCUAAUCAGAAAGCCACGGCUAACUACGUG
rnacentral:rRNA from 1 species